UGUGAUUUCACGUUGCUCGAUCCUUGGCAGAGUUAAAAUUUCUUAUUUAUUCUCUUAUAUUUUAAGAAAAUUCGAAGCAACGUAUGGAAGAGAGCUGUUCCUUAUACACGCAAACUGACCCAAAGUUCAUUCCACAGUUUUGCAUCAGUAUGUAAAAAUAUCUUCCAGCCAGUUUUCUACAAAAAAAAAAACACUGCGCGUUCACACGUUGAGUGAGUCUGCGUAUCUGACAUCCUCUAAUAUCACAGCAUCAUGUAAUCUCCAAGAGAUUAUUCUCGUUGAUAUUUUAUGUAUACGCUUCUACGAAACAAGGCGUAUAUGGCUUAAAAUCGUGACGCAAUUCCAUUUCCACGACUGUCCGAAUGGCUCGAUAGCGAAUCCUUCCUUUUAACAAUUGCAUUUACGCUUCCCACGGACGAGGUACCGUCAUGAGAUAAUGACGAUAUGACGGAGUACAGCCGAGCCUGCAAGGCAGCCUCCAUCGAAUGUCUUUCAUUAUUUUCAAUCACCAUACCGUCGGAGGCGAAAUAGUACCUACAAAAAAUAAAUAAAUAAAUUUAUACGUCGUCAAUAUAUCUUAUA